rnacentral:misc_RNA from 1 species
GAUGAAGAACGCAGCAAAAUGCGAUAAGUAGUGUGAAUUGCAGAAUUCAGUGAAUCAUCGAAUCUUUGAACGCACAUUGCGCCCUUUGGUAUUCCAAAGGGCAUGCCUGUUCGAGCGUCAUUUGUACCCUCAAGCUUUGCUUGGUGUUGGGCGUCUUGUCUCUAGCUUUGCUGGAGACUCGCCUUAAAGUAAUUGGCAGCCGGCCUACUGGUUUCGGAGCGCAGCACAAGUCGCACUCUCUAUCAGCAAAGGUCUAGCAUCCAUUAAGCCUUUUUUUCAACUUUUGACCUCGGAUCAGGUAGGGAUACCCGCUGAACUUAAGCAAUCAAUAAGCGGAGGA